CAGCAAAUUUAGCCAGGACAACUAACUCCGCAUGAUGUUGCAGAAGUGAAGGGACCAGGUUUGCUAAAGUAAUUGUGGUGACAGAAAUGUAUUAGCUUCAGAAGCUACUGAGGUGGUUCAUUCUAUCCUAGUACAGUG